rnacentral:rRNA from 1 species
UACGUAGGGUGCAAGCGUUGUCCGGAAUUAUUGGGCGUAAAGAGCUCGUAGGCGGUUCGUCGCGUCGGCUGUGAAAUCCCGAGGCUCAACCUCGGGUCUGCAGUCGAUACGGGCGGACUGGAGUUCGGCAGGGGAGACUGGAAUUCCUGGUGUAGCGGUGAAAUGCGCAGAUAUCAGGAGGAACACCGGUGGCGAAGGCGGGUCUCUGGGCAAUAACUGACGCUGAGGAGCGAAAGCGUGGGGAGCGAACAGG